UAGACAGAGCAGCCCCAAAGGCUGCUGGUUGCCCAUUUUUAUGGUUGUUUAUUGAUUAUAUGCUAAACAAAGGAUGGAUUAUUCAAACCUCCCCUUUUUUUAGACCAUACAGAGUAACUUCCUGACAUUUCCAUGACAUUUGUAAACAGUCAUGGAGCUGGUGGGAGUGUAGCAGGGAGGACGACCAGAGGUCACGCUUGUCGCCAUCUUGUUUUUGAUGGGUUUUGGCUGGCUUCUUUACUGCAAGCUGUUUUGUCAGCAAGGUCUUUGUGACCUGUAUCUUGUGCUGACCUCCUGUCUCAUUCUGUGACCUAGAAUGCCUAACCGUCUGGGAAUGCAGCCCAGUAAGUCUUAGCCUUAUUUUACCCAACCCCUAUUUAAGUUGGAGUUGCUCUGGUUAAAACUCCUCUGACAAAAUGGCAUGGGAGGCUGAGGCAGGAGGAUCACUUGAGCCCAGGAGUUCAAGGCCAGCCUGAGCAACAUAGUGAGUGAGACUUCAUCUCUAAAAGAAAAGAAAAAAAGGCAUGCUAAUGUUCUCUAAUAUCCUUUUUCUCACCUUCUCAAAAAAAUCUUUGAAAUGAUACAUAAAAUGGCAAACAGUGGCUGCAACUCUGGAAACCAGAGUCUAUUGGGAUAGUCUAUUAAUAGUGGAAUGUAUGGCAGUUGGCUGAGAUAUAUGUUCCUGAACUCUGCUACCCAUCUUCUAAAACAGAAGAGCAAAUAUAAUGCUGCAAAGAAGUAGAUGGUAGUAGAGGAACAUUGUCAAAGGAAGAGGAGCUCCUGCCCUUUCCAGCAUAACCUGGAGUUAGCAGUAUAGGUGUGAGGCCAUUUUGGCAGAGCCUGCUCCAGGUACAGACCUCGAACUGGUCUCUCUGUGACCUUGAAGACUUGGCCUGGCAAUAGCCUUUCUGCAGCCCUCGGGACACAGACACCACAGACCCACACAGCCCAUGUACUCUGAAGGGCUCCUAUCCCUGAAGAUGACCCGACUCUCACUGCAGACCCACACCCCUGGCUGCUGGGUGCAAGCCUGCAGUCCAGAGGGUGGCCUGUUGCUUGCCCAGCAGUCCCAGGUCAGCUCCAGGCUGGCCAAGCCAACAAAAUUCUCUGCUAUCCAGUGGGCUGAAUCACAUCUUCUCCAACAAGGUCUGAGCCCCUUCCAAGUUUGUUUUUUCCUGCCACCCUCAACCGUAGGGUACCAUGUAGUUUCCUUAUAUUCUAUAGUUACCCUUUUGUUGAUACAUUUAUACAUCAACCUUUCCCAGUUUAGCCUACUCUCUGGUUUCUGUAUCCUGACUGGACCCAGACUACUGCAAAUACUUCACAUGUAUUAAUUCAUUUACUUACCAUACCAAUUGUAUGAGGUGAGUACCAUUACUGACAUCAUUUUUCUAAUGAAGAGGUUGUGUGCGGUUAGGUAACUCAUACAACCUUGUCUUUGUUUCGAAAAUUUUUUAAUCUAAAGACUCAGAAGAAAAACACCCUCUAAACAAAUAUUUUUUGUAAGAUAUAGAAGAAAAUUUUAGAAAACAUCUGUUUGGUUUUCCCAAGGAACCAAGAAAAUACAGCCUUCCUAUAGGAACAGAGACAUAAGAAGAGAAUAGACUUGGAUGCAGGCAGAAUUUUAAAAAGAAGCUAGCAAAAUAAAAUUUAAGAGAAACCAAAAAUGUUGUGGAAGAAUUUGAAUCGUACUAAAGGCAGUACAGAGGAAAAUUAUUACUGCAGGAAAGCGAAUAAGUGAUGUGGCAGUUUAACCCCAACAGUUCUCCCAGAAUACAGAGGAAAAAGAGGUGAAAAGAAUGAGAGACCAUAAGAGAGAAGCAGGUCAAAGAAGUGAAGGCAUACCUACCAAAGUUAUCUCUUCUUAGAGAAAUAACUAGAAUAAUGGGGUCAAAAGUCCUCAGGCGGGAGGCUAUUAAGAGGAAAGUAAAGCCCACAUGGGGAAAUUAUUAUCACUUAUGGGGAAAUUUUUAGAAGUUUCUGUGUGACCUCCCGCAAACUCCCAUGGCAUUUUCUUUGCACUGUGUCACUCACCCUGUUCUGCCUUGAAUUUUGCUGAAAGUGUAAGACUAGCACUGAAAAGAACAUAUUUCAGAUCCCAGUCUUUUCACUUACUGUGUGACAUUAACAAGUCAACUGCUAGGCCUUGGUUUUCUAUCUACCUUAUAAUAUCUACCUAAAGUAGUUUAUCUAUCUUGAAAGGUUGUCUGGUGACACAAAUGAAGAUAUAUGGAAAUCUCUAGACAAUAGUUUCUGAACCUGAAUCUUUAUGUCUCUAUGUGAGUCUCAAUAUUUAAGGACAAAAAAGCAGAUGUAUUUCCUUUGUGUCCCCUGCAGUACCUAGCAACUGUAGGCACUGUAUAAAUAUUUAUCAAGCAUGUUUAAUUUAAGAUAAAAGUUAGCAAAGUAGUCUAAACCUAUCCCACUAUCACAAAAGGAACAAUGGGUUUCAUAAAGACCAGAAAAAUAUAGAUCAAUAGAAUUAAUUGUGUUUGUAAACAGAUAUAAAUUCAUUUAUUAUUGCUAUUUGUUUUGGGGUUUUUUUGUUUUUGUUUUUGUUUUUUUGAGAUGCUGUCUCGCUCUGUUACCCAGGCUGGAGUGUAGUGGCACGAUCUCAGCUCACUGAAACCUCUGCCUCCCGGGUUCAAGCAGUUCUCCUGCCUCAGCCUCCCAAGUAGCUGGGAUUACAGGCAUGCGCCAACACACCUGGCUAAUUUUGUAUUUUUAGUAGAGGCAGGGUUUCUCUGUGUUGGUCAGGCUGGUCUUAAACGCCCGACUUCAGGUGAUCCGCCCACUUCGGCCUCCCAAAGUGCAGGGGAUUACGGGUGUGAACCACCACGCCCAGCUAUUUGUUUUAAUUUCAGUGUUUACAAAAGGCAAUGAGCAUUGAGCUAUUUUAGUAUAGAUGUAAAUUUUGAUAAUUUUCUCCAUCCUUUGUUACAACUGAAACAUUUUAGUUCAAUACACUGUAAUUUACAGCUAAAUAGUACAAAAUGGUGAUUUGUAACAUUUUGUUUUCACAAAGAAAAAAUGAUUUAAAAUGACAGAAGAAAAUUAUAGCAAUUAACAUAGCCAUCCAAAGGAAUAUUUUCUAAGCAUAUAAGAUGACUACUAUCAUCAAUAGAACUACGCAAUAACUUGGAUUCACAAAUAUGUCAACCUUCAUUAAGAACCUUAAAUUCCUAAAUGUAAAUCAAGUUACAAAAAUCAUUAUCCAUCUGGAGAGAAACCUAAUGAUUUCCCUAUGCCAGCUGUGGAAAUAACAGGUUUGAGCCAUGUUAAAAAUCAAUGUUACCCAAAUAAAGAGUUUUCUCAGAUUCCUCUCUGGUAACAUGCUGUUAAUGUUGGUAACAGAGGCCACUGUCAGAGCAUUUGCCCAAGUCCAGAAUACUUCCCAAAGAUAGUAGGAUAUAGGAUAUCUCUACACAGGUAGGGGCUAAUUCAAGCCACUAUGCAGAGAUAGCCUCUAUCCUACUAUCCUUGAGAAUUGAAAGAGAGAAUACCUGUGUGGAGGUAUCCUAUUAUCUGGUGAAUUUGAGGCAGGAGAAUAGGGUGUGGAGGCAAGGAACCUAAGGCCAGUUCAUGCUGACUUCCUAGAACUAAAUCAAAAGGAAAACCCCAAUUUUCCACACCUAAGUAACAAAAGGACCAGAGGCUACUCCCUUUGCAACACUUUCUACAUGGCAGAUGGAAAAUUGAAAGUACCUCUGAUUGGUUGCAGAAAGCAACCAAGCAGAUGUUUGCAUAGGAGUGUAACUUUGUAACUUCACUUUGGCCUCUGAUUGUGGGCCACUGCUUCAUUUGCACCGGGUGUACAUCAAGUGGCCAAUGGUGGAUUUGGACCCCAGAAGACUGUGUAACCAGGGCCUUUGAGCCACUGCUCGGGCCACUCCCACCCUGUGAAAUGUACUUUCAUUUUCAAUAAAUCUCUGCUUUCGUUGCUUCA